CAGCGGUGUCACAGCGGUGUCACAGCGGUGUCACAGCGGUGUCACAGCGGUGUCACAGCGGUGACAGCCGCCCCGCAGCACGGAGUUCCCCCGGGGACUGCCGAGCCCCGCAGCAAGCACGGAGCGGAGCCCGCACACGGCUCGGCCCCCCCGGGCUCGGUCUGGGACCUCGUAAACACCCCGGGAGGGGCGUCGGGAGCCGGGGGAGCCCCGGCGGGUUUGGUAGCGGUGCUUCCCAGCGCUGAGAGCAGCCGCAGGCAAGCCAAAAAAUACUCCGAGGACUGUCCCCGGGUUCACCGGCUGCAAACGCUUUCCGCCACGAUUAAGGACGCCGCGAUCGCAGCGAGAUGCUCCUCUCCCCAGCGCCCGGCAGCCAGCAGGAGACAGGCGCAGCUCCAGCGGAGUUGGGGCGCGGGGACCCCGCUCCCCUCGCACCCACGGGCGGGCGAGGAACACCAUGAGCCCCCGCUCGGAGCGACCCCAGCGGACCCCCCCACCCCGGGCCCCCGUCCCGCCCGGCCCCUUACCGUGCGGCGGCGGCUGGGGCUUGCCGCCCGGCGGCUUCUCCUUCCUGCCGCCCGCCGUGCUCCGCAGCCGCCAGCCCGCCGCCCCCCUGCCCAGCGCGCCGGCCAUGCCGCGGCUGGGGCGGCCCCCGCAGCGCCGGGCCCGGCGGGGACAGCGCGGGGGCGGAGAUGGGGCCCGGGACCCGGCGGCGGGCACGGGGACGGCGAUGGGGACGGGGGCGGGAAGGAGGGAGCAGCGCGGUCCCGGCGGUCCCGCCCCCGGCCNNNNNNNNNNNNNNNNNNNNNNNNNNNNNNNNNNNNNNNNNNNNNNNNNNNNNNNNNNNNNNNNNNCGGGCUCCCGGGGGCAAGGGGGGGGUCGCGCAGCGAGACCCCGACCCCAUCCCCGCCGGGAGCCCUCCUCCCACGGAGCUUCGCCGGGAGCCAUGUGAAUGAAGACACAAGAGCAUUCUUAAAUAUGAUUGUAGAGUGUAAUACCUCUGAUUUAAAGGACCACCUUGCUUAUUCAUUGUAUGCAACAAAAGGUGUAAUGGAGAAUAUGAGCAGCCUCUGUUGAAAAGAAAAGAGAGGAAUACAGAGUACCUUCUGCAUUCGCAGUCCACCUGAGGAUGACAUCUAUGAUUUGUAAGCAGUCAAAUUCAGCUCAGUCCACAUUAGCAAUCCAGCUCUAAUAUGGAAGCCCCAAGGCAGUUCUGCCCCUGCUCAUCUUCCAGUCCACAACUUGCUGGCAACGUGCUUGUAAUUUACCAUUGACAAGAAUUUCCUCUCACUACCUUUUCGUACUGAAGAUAUAUGUAUGUUCUUCUAACCCAGACAAACAGAAAAGCUAGAUGGAGUAGAAAAGCAAUUCACAAAAUGAUACCAAUUCCUUGCAAAGCACCACUUCAUGUUCCACCGGGGAAUCUGUGCACUUCCAGGAGAUGCCUCCAGGUUAUAAUGCACUGUAUGAAUACACUAGUGAUUUUGUACAAACCAGACAAAAAGCAGAAUAACCACAGGCAACAUUUUGCUGGGCUAGCCUACGUGCCUGCAGCUGCCCUCCUCUGCUUUGUACCAGUGCUGUGAGAAAGCACCUGGGACCCAGUUUGCUCCUUCACUGCAAAGAACGCACUUGCAUUCAUGCCGUGCUUUGGAUCAGCCUGUGUGCACUCCUCUUCUUCUGUCUGGUGCUAGAGGAAUCAGAAAAGCAACGGUUCCAGCCACAAGGAAAGAUGCAGAGCAAGGGUUAGGCUGCCUUGGGAACAGCAGUGUGCACCCCCACCACAGCUUCAUGAUCCUCAGUAUAAUCCUUCUGAAUCUUCUUGCAUGCACCAAGAGCAGUUGUGCACAUGCUAGCACUAAGUCCAGUGGAGGUACAGUGCCUGCACGGUGGGCAGCCACAAACCUCACCAGCUCAAAAGCGUGAGAGCCACUGGUGGCUGAGGCUGUCUGAGGACAACUUCAAGCCCUACCUGAACCAAGUCAUAUCCUGUGUUUCCUGUGCUCAUACCUGUUUCAUGGAGCUGGGGAUGGGUUUAGAGCACUAGAUAUGCAUCAUAAAAGGGAAUGUGCAAUGGAGUCAGGACUUAGUACUGCGGUCUGACUAAAAAGACAGCCUCUAUAAUUCUAAUUUUCAAUAAAUCAGAAAUAAUGACUUACCUUUGUAUCUAC
ensembl:lncRNA